rnacentral:rRNA from 1 species
AACGAACGCUGGCGGCGUGCCUAACACAUGCAAGUCGUGCGAGAAAGUUCCUUCGGGAGCGAGUAAAGCGGCGCACGGGUGAGUAACACGUAGGUAACCUGCCCCCCAGUCUGGAACAACUAGAGGAAACUCUAGCUAAUGCCGGAUGAGACCACGAUCCCUUCGGGGGUUGCGGCCAAAGAUGGCCUCUACUUGUAAGCUAUCGCUGAGGGAUGGGCCUGCGGGCCAUUUAGCUUGUUGGUGAGGUAACGGCUCACCAAGGCUGUGAUGGCUAGCUGGUCUGAGAGGAUGACCAGCCACACUGGGACUGAGACACGGCCCAGACUCCUACGGGAGGCAGCAGUGGGGAAUAUUGGACAAUGGGCGAAGCCUGAUCCAGCAAUGCCGCGUGAGUGAUGAAGGCCUUAGGGUUGUAAAGGCUACUUUUACCCGGGAUGAUAAUGACAGUACCGGGAGAAUAAGCCCGGCUAACUCCGUGCCAGCAGCCGCGGUAA